rnacentral:rRNA from 1 species
GACGAACCGUGCGAACGUUGUUCGGAAUCACUGGGCUUAAAGGGCGCGUAGGCGGGCCGGACGGUCCGGGGUGAAAUCCCCCCGCUCAACGGGGGAACGGCCUCGGAUACCGCCGGCCUGGAGGGGGGUAGGGGCGAGCGGAACGCUGGGUGGAGCGGUGAAAUGCGUUGAUAUCCAGCGGAACUCCGGUGGCGAAGGCGGCUCGCUGGACCCUCACUGACGCUGAGGCGCGAAAGCCAGGGGAGCGAACGGG